AUUGAACGCUGGCGGCAGGCCUAACACAUGCAAGUCGAACGAGUGGCGGACGGGUGAGUAAUGUCUGGGAAACUGCCUGAUGGAGGGGUAUAACUACUGGAAACGGUAGCUAAUCCCGCAUACCAUCAGAUGUGCCCAGAUGGGAUUAGCUAGUUGGUGGGGUAACGGCUCACAAAGGCGACGAUCCCUAGCUGGUCUGAGAGGAUGACCAGCCACACUGGAACUGAGACACGGUCCACAAUCGUACGUGAGGGAGCAGUGGGGAAUAUUGCCCACUGGGCGCAAGCCUGAUGCAGCAAUGCCGCGUGUAUGAAGAAGGCGUUCGGGUUGUACAGUAUUUUCAGCAGGGAGGCGUUACUCGCAGAAGAAGCACCGGCUGACUCCGUGCCAGCCGCCGCGGUAAUAC
rnacentral:rRNA from 1 species